rnacentral:lncRNA from 1 species
UGAGUUUCUAUUAAAAAAAUAGAUGGAAAGGUAUAAAACGUAUAAGGUACUUUAUAACAUGAAGCGAAUAUACAUUAAUUGAAAAUUGUAUUUAGACAUAAAUGUAUAAAUUACUAGUAUUUAAUGGGGGAAUAUUAAGAAUAAAAUAUCAACUACCUUAUUUCGUACAAACAACCACAUUAAUGGUUGUCAAAAACAUAGAGGAUUUCUCGGCCUAUGAAUAUCUAGGGAAUACUUUAAGUUGAAUAAUUUCCUGGCAGAUAAUUGCAAAUUUUUUGGCUACUCUGCUGGAUGAUUAAUUAUUCACUGAGCAUAUCGUCUUUAUAGGUGUUUAAUGAUGAAUUCGAUUCGUUUGAGAGGUCAGAUUGUCUAUAAGAAAUGGAUUUAAACGAUAUAAAAGGACUAACAAUCAAUGACCACAAUAUGAUUCAAAAUAAAAAUUAUAAGAUACUAACUGGUAAACUCCUAGAAGUUAUUCAUUGGAUUAUUUCUGCCUUUUGAUCAAAUACUACAUAUUAUGCCGUCGCCUACUCCAAGUUUAAAUUUGAGUCAUAAGGUAAAUAUCAACGAUUGUGGAAGAUGUUUGUUGGAUAUUCGCUCCAAAACUUAUAAUAGAUAUCUUUCGAUUAAACAUUUACUUAAAUUGUAAAUCCACGGACUAUUUCAAAUUUGCAUUAUAUUGACGACUUUUUAAACACUCAAGUAUUCAGAGGGAUAAAACUUUAUCAAUGUAUCUAGCUAUAUGACUUUAUACUUAUGUUCAUAUAGUGCCGUAGCUACGAAGAGGACACAAGGGGGCCUUCUCAACUAAAAUAUAAAUUUGAUUCUACUAAGUUUACAGAAUUGUGACCACUUUUUUAAAUUAUUGGGCUUGUUUUAUUUAUAUUUUUAACUUUUUAUUGAGCUUGACAA